rnacentral:rRNA from 1 species
GAUCCUGGCUCAGGAUGAACGCUAGCUACAGGCUUAACACAUGCAAGUCGAGGGGCAGCAUGGUCUUAGCUUGCUAAGGCCGAUGGCGACCGGCGCACGGGUGAGUAACGCGUAUCCAACCUGCCUUACACUCUUGGACAGCCUUCUGAAAGGGNGAUUAAUACAAGAUGUUAUCAUGAGUAAGCAUUUUCGUCAUGAUUAAAGGUUUACGGUGUAGAUGGGAUGCGUUCC